AAAUAUUUUUUAAUUUAAUUUUUUUCUUAAUUUGAACAAUUUUUAAAAAUUAAAAUUUUCGAAUCUGAAAAAAUAUAAAUAAAACCGAAAACAAAAAAAGAAAAGAAAACAGAAAAAAAACCCAGAAAAGAAUAAAAAGAAAAAACAAACUGCUACAUCUAAACAGCCACAAAUGGGCCUAGCCCAUACCCGAUCAGGGGGUGUGCGGUGGCCGGUAGCCACCGAUCUGGUCGGUGUAUAGGUUUUGCCAUCGGGAAUGGCAAGAAGUUUUGUUUUCCUUUUGUUUCGUCUCCUUCCAAGUUCCAAGUCCUCGUGCGUCUAGGCUCCAUUUUCCUCUUCCUCCCCGUAUCCAACUCAAAUUGGUCUGCGGGUGAUGAUAAUCCCCUGGAGGACAAUCUCGGUUGGGAGCCCAGAGACCAAGCAGCGACCUCGCGGCGGCGCCGCCUUCCCGCCCCUCUCUUUCUCCUCCGCCUCGGCUCUUCGGCUCCACGGUAAACCUCCACCGAGAAGAGGACAUGGGCGACCUCCACCCUUGCCUCCGGCGUCCCAUGCAGGGUGGAUGAAGUAUAGAUAGGUGUAGUUGCCGAGUUGGAGUUUCGUCCAGCGCUUCAACGGAAUCCCGAGUUUUCUCCUCAACUCCGGCCACCACCACCACCCAGCCGUGAGUUAGUUCGCCCUUCCUGACUACAAGUUCAGUACAUACGUGCUCUUUGUGUCAUCAACGGGAAUGAAGCCGAGGUGGUCUCGGAGGGCACAACCCAUCGUCGGUCUGUACCAGGGCCAAGGUCGUUGGCAGCCUCAAUCCCGAGUUCCGACCACCCUCCCCCAGCGGCUGCAACAGACAAAUGCCUCCUUACUGUCCAGAGUAGGGACUGUUUGCUGUUUGCUGUCUGAAAUUGUUGGCAAUUGUUGAACAACUCAAAUGAGAAUAAUACCGCAGAAACUUUCUGGUAGUUACUUCCAGCGAAAAUGGAGGGUGAUGUGAGCUUCACCACAUCAUUUUGUCGUUUGGUGUUGUGUUUGAGGACCAGUGCUCAGUGAAAGAAUACUAUGGCAUAAGGUUUAGUUUUUGGUUGGAGGAGCGUGUUCAGCAGCAUAGAGAGGUAUUAAUUUUCACAUAAGCAUUGGGUACGUUAAUAGGGCAU